rnacentral:rRNA from 1 species
GACGAACGCUGGCGGCGUGCUUAACACAUGCAAGUCGAACGGAAAGGCCCUGCUUUUGUGGGGUGCUCGAUUGGCGAACGGGUGAGUAACACGUGAGUAACCUGCCCUUGUCUUUGGGAUAACUUCAGGAAACUGGGGCUAAUACCGGAUAGGAGCUCCUGCUGCAUGGUGGGGGUUGGAAAGUUUCGGCGGUUGGGGAUGGACUCGCGGCUUAUCAGCUUGUUGGUGGGGUAGUGGCUUACCAAGGCUUUGACGGGUAGCCGGCCUGAGAGGGUGACCGGCCACAAUGGGACUGAGAUACGGACCAGACUGCUACGGGAGGCAGCAGGGGGGAGUAUUGCACAGUGGGAGGGAGUCUGUUGCAGCGGCGCCGGGUGCGGGAUGACGGCCUUCGGGUUGUAAACCGCUUUCGCCUGUGACGAAGCGGGAGUGACGGUAAUGGGUAAAGAAGCACCGGCUAACUACGUG